CCCAACUUGGUCUGGUGUAACAAGUUCAUCAGCUGGUCAUAAUCAUGUUUGCUCAACCCUGGAAUCACAGAGCUUUGACCAUCUAAGCUCGCAGCAGACUGAUGGUUAGCAGAAGGAUUCCCAUGAGGAACAGACAACAGUCCAUCAGAAAUAGGAGAGUCCAGACCAGUACUCAGAUGGGCAGCAGCAGGCCUCUUUCCCUUGUUGAAUGUGGGACUUUGUGGAUACCCA
rnacentral:lncRNA from 1 species